CUUCAAAUAGUCGAUGCCAUCAAGAGCUACAAAUCCAAAGCGACCAUCUUCGAAAUCAACUCCAGUAGUAAGACACCAGCCAGUGAGGUGAUGCGGGCCAAACGCUCUAAAGACACUCGGCUAGUGGACAAAUUCAGCAAGCAGA